UACGUAGGGGGCAAGCGUUGUCCGGAUUUAUUGGGCGUAAAGAGCGUGUAGGCGGUUCGGUAAGUCUGCCGUGAAAACCUGAGGCUCAACCUCGGGCGUGCGGUGGAUACUGCCGGGCUAGAGGACGGUAGAGGCGAGUGGAAUUCCACGUGUAGCGGUGAAAUGCGUAGAGAUGUGGAGGAACACCAGUGGCGAAGGCGACUCUUUGGCCUGUAACUGACGCUGAGGCGCGAAAGCGUGGGGAGCAAACAGG
rnacentral:rRNA from 1 species